GACGAACGCUGGCGGCGUGCCUAAUACAUGCAAGUCGAGCGCAGGAAACUGACGGAACUCUUCGGAGGGAAGGCAGUGGAAUGAGCGGCGGACGGGUGAGUAACACGUAAGGAACCUGCCUCAAGGAUUGGGAUAACUCCGAGAAAUCGGAGCUAAUACCGGAUAGUUCAACGGACCGCAUGGUCCGCUGAUGAAAGGCGCUUCGGCGUCACCUUGAGAUGGCCUUGCGGUGCAUUAGCUAGUUGGUGGGGUAACGGCCCACCAAGGCGACGAUGCAUAGCCGACCUGAGAGGGUGAUCGGCCACACUGGGACUGAGACACGGCCCAGACUCCUACGGGAGGCAGCAGUAGGGAAUCUUCCACAAUGGACGAAAGUCUGAUGGAGCAACGCCGCGUGAGUGAUGAAGGUUUUCGGAUCGUAAAACUCUGUAGUAAGGGAAGAACACGUACGAGAGGAUAUGCUCGUACCUUGACGGUACCUUACGAGAAAGCCACGGCUAACUACGUGCCAGCCGCCGCCGUAA
rnacentral:rRNA from 1 species